CCUACGGGGGGCAGCAGUGAGGAAUAUUGGUCAAUGGACGAGAGUCUGAACCAGCCAAGUAGCGUGAAGGAUGACUGCCCUAUGGGUUGUAAACUUCUGUUAUAGGGGAAUAAAAUGUUCCACGUGUGGGAUUUUGUAUGUACCAUAUGAAUAAGGAUCGGCUAACUCCGUGCCAGCAGCCGCGGUAAUACGGAGGAUCCGAGCGUUAGCCGGAUUUAUGGGGGUGAAAGGGAGCGUAGGGGGAUUGUUAAGUCAGUGGUGAAAGUUUGCGGCUCAACCGUAAAAUUGCAGUUGAAACUGGCAGUCUUGCGUACAGUAGAGGUGGGCGGCCUUCGUGGUGUAGCGGU
rnacentral:rRNA from 1 species